UCCCUUUCCCCUUCGUCUUUCUUAACAAGCUUAUGCACAGGUAAAAAACAGUAAUUUGCUGAGCUGCCAAAAUGACAGCUUGAUUCAACCAUUUUCGCACGGUAAGAAAAAGCCUUCAAUAGAUUGCUUCUGAAGCUCUUCUGCGCCACCAAGGGCUGUCAUUGCGUAUAAACCCAAUGACAAAUGCUGUCAAGCCACC
rnacentral:lncRNA from 1 species